rnacentral:rRNA from 1 species
CACGUAGGGCGCAAGCGUUGUCCGGAAUUAUUGGGCGUAAAGAGCUCGUAGGCGGCUUGUCGCGUCGGCUGUGAAAACCUGGGGCUCAACCCCGGGCCUGCAGCCGAUACGGGCAAGCGUAGAAUUCGGUAGGGGAGACUGGAAUUCCUGGUGUAGCGGUGAAUGCGCAGAUAUCAGGAGGAACACCGGUGGCGAAGGCGGGUCUCUGGGACGGUACUGACGCUGAGACGCGAAAGCGUGGGGAGCGAACAGG